GUUAACACCACUAUAAGUGCUUUUGACUUGAAAUCAAAAUGAUUGUUUUUAUUAACAAUGUUAACU
rnacentral:tRNA from 1 species